UCGACCGGUGGUAGAUCGUGGAUCAGGGAAACCGAAGGCAGGAGAAGCAGGCGGCUGCCGGUCGGAGCGUGAGGUGAACUGAAUUUCAGGUAAGAAGUUAUGACCUGCACUCUAUUUGGGUCAGAUAUAAACCGAGUUUAGGUGUAGUUUAUUUUCGUUGUGCUGACUUUUUACAAUCAGUUAUAAUAACUCGUACUGCGUGGUAGCUAGCACGAUGGAGUUUCUAUACAGCUGUGUGCCCGCUAAGUUACUGAUGUUGAACUUUAUGACAGCCUCCCCUGUCAUUCUCUCGCCUGUUCAAACUUCAGUCAUGAAACUGAUCAAUGAUCGGC
ensembl:lncRNA